ACAAGGACCCGGAGACUUCGGACCUCGAAGACGCCGCUGCAGCCGACCUCGAGCCUCCGCCCUAGCGUCGUCGUCGCCGCCGUCGCGAUGCCCUUCAAGCGCCGCAACGGCGGCCGCAACAAGCAAGGACGCGGCCACGUCAAGUUCGUCCGUUGCUCCAACUGCGCCAAGUGCGUCCCCAAGUGUAGUUCGGCUGGCGCCGGCAUGAGGUUCACAUCUACAUGGUAGCUUGGACGCCUUGGCGUUGCAUGUCGUCAUUUGUUGUGGUGCCAUGCGGGUGUGUACAGCGUGCAGCUCGGAGCAAGCAGGCAUGCAGUUUGUGGAUUUUUUUGUCUGUCAAAUGUAUCCGGUUGGGAUAUGAUGUAUUGUGUGUAAAAACUAUUUGUUGAGAAGUUUAUUUCAACAAGCAUUAAAUAGUUCAUUUUCGAGAGAAAAAUGUGUUGAUGCAGCCCA